rnacentral:lncRNA from 1 species
GUAAUUAUUUUUUAGGUUAAUCAUUGGAUAUUAGAUAUUUACUCCUAGACUAUGCCUCCUAAACAUGAGUCUGGUGCUCAAAAGAGGAAAAGGAAACGAAAUGAAAUUGCAUUAAUUCAAAGUCAAGCAGGGGAUAUUAACAAGUACUUCAAAAGCAACAAUGUGAAUGUGUUGAAUGAGGAUGAAGUAGAGAUUCAACAUGCCCAUGUUAAUGAAGUAGAUGAUAAGGAUGAAGAAGUGAGUCAACCU